GAGCUCACUUCGGCAGCACAUACACUAAAAUUAGAACAAUACAGAGAAGAUUAGCAUGGCCCCUGCACAAGGAUGACACGCAAAUUCAUGAAGCGUUCCAUAUUUUU
rnacentral:snRNA from 1 species